GACAGAGGAGGCGAGCGUUAUCCGGAGUUACUGGGCGUAAAGCGUACGCAGGCGGCUAGCCAAGUCUGGGGUUAAAGACCACAGCUCAACUGUGGGGGGGCCUGGGAAACUGACCGGCUGGAGCGGCGGAGAGGGCGCGGGAAUUCCCGGUGUAGCGGUGAAAUGCGUAGAGAUCGGCAAGAAGACCUAAGGGGAAAGCAGGGAGCUGGGCGCAAACUGACGCUGAGGUGCGACAGCGAGGGGAGCAAAUCGG
rnacentral:rRNA from 1 species